rnacentral:rRNA from 1 species
UAACCUGCCGAAAGGCAGACUAAUACCGCAUAGUCUUCGAUGACGGCAUCAGAUUUGAAGUAAAGAUUUAUCGGUAAUGGAUGGGGAUGCGUCUGAUUAGCUUGUUGGCGGGGUAACGGGCCCACCAAGGCGACGAUCAGUAGGGGUUCUGAGAGGAAGGUCCCCCACAUUGGAACUGAGACACGGUCCAAACUCCUACGGGAGGCAGCAGCA